CCGAGCCACAGGAGCGCCGCGCCGCUCCCGCACCCGAGGCCGAGCCCGACCCGAGCUCGUGCUCCUGGUCCACCUCGAGCGCUCCCGAGCCGCCGUGUGCAAGCAGAAGACCCAGGGCAACCCCGCAUCCCCGCCUCGAUCUUCCCCGCUGCUACACGCCUCGACUAGGGCAAAGCACAUCUCGCGAGGAGCAUCGGAGAUCGCCGCUGUUCGCCGGGCGAUUUCGCCACCAGCACACCGGAGCGACCACCCACCGCCGAGCCGACGCACCAGAGCAGCCGCCGUUCACAUCCUCGCCGUCGUCAGUAGAGGACGCCCCCGUCUCCGUACUCACCACCACCGCCUCCGCCGCACCCACCCAUCACUUCACCCUCGCCGGAGAGUCGCCGGAGGAGCGCCACCGCCGCCGCCGUUUUCCUCUGUACACGAUUGUCCGGAGUGCGACGCGAGCUAUUGUCAGGAGUGUGACUUUCUGAACCAGAACCAAGGCAAGUUACAUGUUGAUCAUCCUUUACCUAUUGUUUUCUAUGCGUGUAGUAUAUAUCACACUUUGAAUUUAUGCAUGUAUAGGAAUACUAUAUUAUUUUGGCUAUGCUGUUGAGUUAUCUUCCCGUCCUUGCAAACCGUGGUUGUUGUAGUUGCUAUGCUUUGUAGACGGGGGGUGGUUCGUGUAUACAUUGAGUUUAUGUGAGGAUUAUAUAUAACUAAAUUGAGUAGUAAU